UACGAAGGGGGCGAGCGUUGUUCGGAAUUACUGGGCGUAAAGGGCGCGUAGGCGGCCGAUCAAGUCAGAUGUGAAAGUCCUGGGCUUAACCUGGGGACUGCAUUUGAUACUGAUUGGCUUGAAUGCAGGAGAGGAUAGCGGAAUUCCCAGUGUAGAGGUGAAAUUCGUAGAUAUUGGGAAGAACACCGGUGGCGAAGGCGGCUAUCUGGACUGUGAUUGACGCUGAGGCGCGAAAAGCGUGGGGAGCAAACAGG
rnacentral:rRNA from 1 species